UACGUAGGGGGCUAGCGUUGUCCGGAAUCAUUGGGCGUAAAGCGCGUGUAGGCGGUCCGGUAAGUCCGCUGUGAAAGUCGGGGGCUCAACCCUCGAAUGCCGGUGGAUACUGUCGGGCUAGGGUGCGGAAGAGGCGAGUGGAAUUCCUGGUGUAGCGGUGAAAUGCGCAGAUAUCAGGAGGAACACCGAUGGCGAAGGCAGGUCUCUGGGCCACUACUGACGCUGAGAAGCGAAAGCAUGGGGAGCGAACAGG
rnacentral:rRNA from 1 species